rnacentral:rRNA from 1 species
AUUGAACGCUGGCGGCAUGCCUUACACAUGCAAGUCGAACGGCAGCACGGGGGCAACCCUGGUGGCGAGUGGCGGACGGGUGAGUAAUGCAUCGGAACGUGCCCUGAAGUGGGGGAUAACGCAGCGAAAGCUACGCUAAUACCGCAUAUUCUGUGAGCAGGAAAGCAGGGGAUCGCAAGACCUUGCGCUUUGGGAGCGGCCGAUGUCGGAUUAGCUAGUUGGUGGGGUAAAGGCCUACCAAGGCGACGAUCCGUAGCGGGUCUGAGAGGAUGAUCCGCCACACUGGGACUGAGACACGGCCCAGACUCCUACGGGAGGCAGCAGUGGGGGAAUUUUGGACAAUGGGCGAAAGCCUGAUCCAGCCAUGCCGCGUGAGUGAAGAAGGCCUUCGGGUUGU